rnacentral:miRNA from 1 species
GUUUCAGAGGAGGGGGCUCGGCCUGGGGUUAUAAAUCUGUGGUGAAGUCGUGUUCACCUGGCAUCCUCCUCACAG